rnacentral:lncRNA from 1 species
GAUAACUGCCACCUCAUCCUCAUAAGGGUACGAAUAGAGGAGUCUAUAAGAAACUUUCUUGUUUGUGCCAAGGGCUAAUGUCAUGGGGGCACCAGCACAGCUAUGAUGGAGACUGAAUUUACAAGCCGGAAAUGAUAUGAUGCACCAUUUUCUUGAAAGCAAUCAGGAAUUUAAACUUUGGAUGAUCGGUAUAGCUACCGAGUACAAGGAGGUGAUUUGGGUAAAAAUGGUGGUAUAUCUUUCGCGGAAGAGGGAAACAACUCUCGUCGAUGAAGUAACUCCAUAGCUGGCAUAUGUAACUAGACAAAGCCUAGAUUGAACAUAUAGAGCAACUCAUGAUCGAUACUUCAUUCAUUUGUUUUAUUGCUUUUAGUGGAUGGCGGUGGUUGAAGUGUAU